AACGAACGCUGGCGGCAUGCCUAACACAUGCAAGUCGAACGAGACCUUCGGGUCUAGUGGCGCGCGGGUGCGUAACGCGUGGGAACCUGCCCUUAGGUUCGGAAUAACUCCCCGAAAGGGGUGCUAAUACCUGAUAAUGUCUUCGGACCAAAGAUUUAUCGCCUUUGGAUGGGCCCGCGUUGGAUUAGCUAGUUGGUAGGGUAAAAGCCUACCAAGGCGACGAUCCAUAGCUGGUCUGAGAGGAUGAUCAGCCACACUGGGACUGAGACACGGCCCAGACUCCUACGGGAGGCAGCAGUGGGGAAUAUUGGACAAUGGGCGAAAGCCUGAUCCAGCAAUGCCGCGUGAGUGAUGAAGGCCUUAGGGUUGUAAAGCUCUUUUACCCGGGAUGAUAAUGACAGUACCGGGAGAAUAAGCUCCGGCUAACUCCGUG
rnacentral:rRNA from 1 species